GUUGUUGUUUCCCGUUGCGUUAUCACGUUCGCUUUACACGCGAAAGGUCCCCGGUUCGGUCCCGGGCGGAACCA